GAAGAGUGCAGAGUUUGUAUUUAUUGCAGUUGGUCAAAGGUAAGCAGUGAUAUUAUAAAAACCACUAAGCAAAAUCACCCUCUUAGGAUCCACCCUUCUCCCCAGCAGGGGAAGCUCUUGCUCACUCCAACAGUGAGGGAUGAUGAGGGAGAGGAGGAAGAGGAUGAUGAAGGAUUUCUGCUCUAUUGAGAUGAGAAAACAAGAUUCACUUCACAAUGGAGCCAAAGACAACAAACCAAACCCUUAACCUGUCAUGGGACUAUGGACAAGUGCGACCAUACACCUCUCCAAACCAAACCCUUAACCUGUCAUGGGACUAUGGACAAGUGCGACCAUACACCUCUCCAAACAUGGAAGAGCUUUGCUGAUGAAGCCAGCACACUCAGCACUCUUCAGCAAUUGGUUUUGCUUCUGCUAUAGUCAGCACUACUGACAUAUGGAAGUGAAAGCUUCUUACAUAAGGCUGCGACAUGACCUGACCACUAAGAUAGUUGCAACAACAGCAUCUUUUAACGUUCAUUUUUUCAACCCAGCCUGAUCUGACGACGGUUUCUAUUCCGCCUGGAGUUUUCGCGUCACUUGCGUCACCCAGUUCGUUGGUCAGAUGCGUACAGAGUCAUUUGAACUAUGCCCGUUGAUCACGCCUCUUGUGCAGUAUAGAAAAUGCAACUGUUGUUAUAUAAUGGUCACACUGUGGUACAGUUUAAAUGAUUACCAUAAAGUACAUAAUAGUACAGUAUAGAGUGCAAACAACAUAAAUGUGUAUUGCAUAUGGGAUGAAGAUGUUAUGUGUGUGCAAGGCCAAUAUUUGAGCAAAAGCUGCAAAUGGCUGCCACGUGGCUACUGUGAGAUUCCCUGGUUGUUGCGCUGUGUUUUAGUUGUAAUGUUUGUAUUGAAGAUGGUCAAUAAAGCUUGAUGGCUGGAUCAGGA